rnacentral:tRNA from 1 species
GCAGGUGUGGUGGAAUUGGUAGACACGCCAGCUUCAGGUGCUGGUGCUCGCAAGGGCGUGAAAGUUCAAAUCUUUUCACCUGUA